rnacentral:ribozyme from 1 species
CAAAUAUAAAUUAAAAAAUGAAUAAGAAAAAGAAACAAAAUAAAUUUAAACAACAUGAAAUUUUUUUAAAUUUGGUUCCACUCCUUGCUUCAUUUUUU